CAGCCGCCGCGAUAAUACGUAGGGGGCGAGCGUUGUCCGGAAUUAUUGGGCGUAAAGCGCGCGCAGGCGGUCCCUUAAGUCUGAUGUGAAAGCCCACGGCUCAACCGUGGAGGGUCAUUGGAAACUGGGGGACUUGAGUGCAGAAGAGGAGAGCGGAAUUCCACGUGUAGCGGUGAAAUGCGUAGAGAUGUGGAGGAACACCAGUGGCGAAGGCGGCUCUCUGGUCUGUAACUGACGCUGAGGCGCGAAAGCGUGGGGAGCAAACAGGAUUAGAUACCCUGGUAGUCCACGCCGUAAACGAUGAGUGCUAAGUGUUAGAGGGGUUAAACCCUUUAGUGCUGUAGCUAACGCGUUAAGCACUCCGCCUGGGGAGUACGGCCGCAAGGCUGAAACUUAAAGGAAUUGGCGGG
rnacentral:rRNA from 1 species